GGUUAAGCGACUAAGCGUACACGGUGGAUGCCCUGGCAGUCAGAGGCGAUGAAGGACGUGCUAAUCUGCGAUAAGCGUCGGUAAGGUGAUAUGAACCGUUAUAACCGGCGAUUUCCGAAUGGGGAAACCCAGUGUGAUUCGUCACACUAUCAUUAACUGAAUCCAUAGGUUAAUGAGGCGAACCGGGGGAACUGAAACAUCUAAGUACCCCGAGGAAAAGAAAUCAACCGAGAUUCCCCCAGUAGCGGCGAGCGAACGGGGAGCAGCCCAGAGCCUGAAUCAGUGUGUGUGUUAGUGGAAGCGUCUGGAAAGGCGCGCGAUACAGGGUGACAGCCCCGUACACAAAAAUGCACAUGCUGUGAGCUCGAUGAGUAGGGCGGGACACGUGGUAUCCUGUCUGAAUAUGGGGGGACCAUCCUCCAAGGCUAAAUACUCCUGACUGACCGAUAGUGAACCAGUACCGUGAGGGAAAGGCGAAAAGAACCCCGGCGAGGGGAGUGAAAAAGAACCUGAAACCGUGUACGUACAAGCAGUGGGAGCACGCUUAGGCGUGUGACUGCGUACCUUUUGUAUAAUGGGUCAGCGACUUAUAUUCUGUAGCAAGGUUAACCGAAUAGGGGAGCCGAAGGGAAACCGAGUCUUAACUGGGCGUUAAGUUGCAGGGUAUAGACCCGAAACCCGGUGAUCUAGCCAUGGGCAGGUUGAAGGUUGGGUAACACUAACUGGAGGACCGAACCGACUAAUGUUGAAAAAUUAGCGGAUGACUUGUGGCUGGGGGUGAAAGGCCAAUCAAACCGGGAGAUAGCUGGUUCUCCCCGAAAGCUAUUUAGGUAGCGCCUCGUGAAUUCAUCUCCGGGGGUAGAGCACUGUUUCGGCAAGGGGGUCAUCCCGACUUACCAACCCGAUGCAAACUGCGAAUACCGGAGAAUGUUAUCACGGGAGACACACGGCGGGUGCUAACGUCCGUCGUGAAGAGGGAAACAACCCAGACCGCCAGCUAAGGUCCCAAAGUCAUGGUUAAGUGGGAAACGAUGUGGGAAGGCCCAGACAGCCAGGAUGUUGGCUUAGAAGCAGCCAUCAUUUAAAGAAAGCGUAAUAGCUCACUGGUCGAGUCGGCCUGCGCGGAAGAUGUAACGGGGCUAAACCAUGCACCGAAGCUGCGGCAGCGACGCUGAUGCGUUGUUGGGUAGGGGAGCGUUCUGUAAGCCUGCGAAGGUGUGCUGUGAGGCAUGCUGGAGGUAUCAGAAGUGCGAAUGCUGACAUAAGUAACGAUAAAGCGGGUGAAAAGCCCGCUCGCCGGAAGACCAAGGGUUCCUGUCCAACGUUAAUCGGGGCAGGGUGAGUCGACCCCUAAGGCGAGGCCGAAAGGCGUAGUCGAUGGGAAACAGGUUAAUAUUCCUGUACUUGGUGUUACUGCGAAGGGGGGACGGAGAAGGCUAUGUUGGCCGGGCGACGGUUGUCCCGGUUUAAGCGUGUAGGCUGGUUUUCCAGGCAAAUCCGGAAAAUCAAGGCUGAGGCGUGAUGACGAGGCACUACGGUGCUGAAGCAACAAAUGCCCUGCUUCCAGGAAAAGCCUCUAAGCAUCAGGUAACAUCAAAUCGUACCCCAAACCGACACAGGUGGUCAGGUAGAGAAUACCAAGGCGCUUGAGAGAACUCGGGUGAAGGAACUAGGCAAAAUGGUGCCGUAACUUCGGGAGAAGGCACGCUGAUAUGUAGGUGAAGUCCCUCGCGGAUGGAGCUGAAAUCAGUCGAAGAUACCAGCUGGCUGCAACUGUUUAUUAAAAACACAGCACUGUGCAAACACGAAAGUGGACGUAUACGGUGUGACGCCUGCCCGGUGCCGGAAGGUUAAUUGAUGGGGUCAGCGCAAGCGAAGCUCUUGAUCGAAGCCCCGGUAAACGGCGGCCGUAACUAUAACGGUCCUAAGGUAGCGAAAUUCCUUGUCGGGUAAGUUCCGACCUGCACGAAUGGCGUAAUGAUGGCCAGGCUGUCUCCACCCGAGACUCAGUGAAAUUGAACUCGCUGUGAAGAUGCAGUGUACCCGCGGCAAGACGGAAAGACCCCGUGAACCUUUACUAUAGCUUGACACUGAACAUUGAGCCUUGAUGUGUAGGAUAGGUGGGAGGCUUUGAAGUGUGGACGCCAGUCUGCAUGGAGCCGACCUUGAAAUACCACCCUUUAAUGUUUGAUGUUCUAACGUUGACCCGUGAUCCGGGUUGCGGACAGUGUCUGGUGGGUAGUUUGACUGGGGCGGUCUCCUCCUAAAGAGUAACGGAGGAGCACGAAGGUUGGCUAAUCCUGGUCGGACAUCAGGAGGUUAGUGCAAUGGCAUAAGCCAGCUUGACUGCGAGCGUGACGGCGCGAGCAGGUGCGAAAGCAGGUCAUAGUGAUCCGGUGGUUCUGAAUGGAAGGGCCAUCGCUCAACGGAUAAAAGGUACUCCGGGGAUAACAGGCUGAUACCGCCCAAGAGUUCAUAUCGACGGCGGUGUUUGGCACCUCGAUGUCGGCUCAUCACAUCCUGGGGCUGAAGUAGGUCCCAAGGGUAUGGCUGUUCGCCAUUUAAAGUGGUACGCGAGCUGGGUUUAGAACGUCGUGAGACAGUUCGGUCCCUAUCUGCCGUGGGCGCUGGAGAACUGAGGGGGGCUGCUCCUAGUACGAGAGGACCGGAGUGGACGCAUCACUGGUGUUCGGGUUGUCAUGCCAAUGGCACUGCCCGGUAGCUAAAUGCGGAAGAGAUAAGUGCUGAAAGCAUCUAAGCACGAAACUUGCCCCGAGAUGAGUUCUCCCUGACCCUUUAAGGGUCCUGAAGGAACGUUGAAGACGACGACGUUGAUAGGCCGGGUGUGUAAGCGCAGCGAUGCGUUGAGCUAACCGGUACUAAUGAACCGUGAGGCUUAACCUU
rnacentral:rRNA from 1 species